UACGGGGGGGGCAAGCGUUGUUCGGAAUUACUGGGCGUAAAGGGCGCGUAGGCGGGUGGACAAGUCUCUCGUGAAAGCCCACGGCGCAACCGUGGGAUUGCGGGAGAUACUGUCUGUCUUGAGUCCGGGAGAGGAGGGUGGAAUUCCCAGUGUAGCGGUGAAAUGCGUAGAUAUUGGGAGGAACACCGGUGGCGAAGGCGGCUCUCUGGACCGGUACUGACUCUGAGGCGCGAAAGCUAGGGGAGCAAACGGG
rnacentral:rRNA from 1 species